GACGAACGCUGGCGGCGUGCUUAACACAUGCAAGUCGAACGGAAAGGCCCUGCUUUUGUGGGGUGCUCGCGUGGCGAACGGGUGAGUAACACGUGAGUAACCUGCCCUUGACUUUGGGAUAACUUCAGGCAACUGGGGCUACUACCGGAUAGGAGCUCCUGCUGCAUGGUGGGGGUUGGAAAGUUUCGGCGGUUGGGGAUGGACUCGCGGGUUAUCAGCUUGUUGGUGGGGUAGUGGCUUACCAAGGCUUUGACGGGUAGCCGGCCUGGGAGGGUGGCCGGCCACAUUAGGACUGAGGUACGGCCCAGACGCCUACGUGAGGCAGCAGUGGAGAGUAUUGCACAGUGGGCGGAAGCCUGAUGCGGCAACGCCGCGUGCGGGAUGACGGCCUUCGGGUUGUAAACCGCUGUCGCCUGUGACGAAGCGUGAGUGACGGUAAUGGGUAAAGAAGCACCGGCUAACUACGUG
rnacentral:rRNA from 1 species